rnacentral:rRNA from 1 species
CACCGCGGUUAUACGAGCGACCCAAGUUGAGAGACAACGGCGUAAAGGGUGGUUAAGAUGUUAACAAACUAAAGCCGAACGUUUUCAGGGCUGUUAUACGUUUCUGAAGAUAAGAAGUUCUACUACGAAAGUGGCUUUAUUAUUUCUGACCCCACGAAAGCUGGGGAA